rnacentral:rRNA from 1 species
GUGGGGAAUCUUGCGCAAUGGGCGAAAGCCUGACGCAGCCAUGCCGCGUGGAUGAUGAAGGUCUUAGGAUUGUAAAAUCCUUUCACCGGUGAAGAUAAUGACGGUACCCGGAGAAGAAGCUCCGGCUAACUUCGUGCCAGCAGCCGCGGUAAUACGAAGGGGGCUAGCGUUGCUCGGAAUUACUGGGCGUAAAGGGCGCGUAGGCGGACAGCUUAGUCAGAGGUGAAAGCCCAGGGCUCAACCUUGGAAUUGCCUUUGAUACUGGCUGUCUUGAGUUUGGGAGAGGUGAGUGGAACUCCGAGUGUAGAGGUGAAAUUCGUAGAUAUUCGGAAGAACACCAGUGGCGAAGGCGACUCACUGGCCCAAUACUGACGCUGAGGCGCGAAAGCGUGGGGAGCAAACAGGAUUAGAUACCCCUGUAGUCC